rnacentral:lncRNA from 1 species
UCUCCCUCUCGCCCCUCUGAAUCUCUGCUGUUGGAGAGCUCUCUGGCAGACAGUGCGCAAUCCUGCCUCGUCUACAGUUGUCUGUAGUGCAGCGGAGCAGGUGGAGAAGGAAAAGAAACGGGGGAGACAGAGGGGAGAGCAGCAGAAAGAGUACGGCAGACAGCUGGAGAAGGAACUGUUAUCCAUGUGAAUAAUGGAAGAUGGCUGAAUUACACGCUGGGAUAUUUAUUCAAAGAACAGUAGAAAAACUGAUGCCUGAGUGUGUCGGAACUGGGGCCAGCCGGUGCUAUUUAAGUACGCAGCGAGUUAUGAGAUCAGGGGGAGAUCACCAGUUGUGACUGAGGCAUCCUCCUUAAUCACCUAAGAGUGAAAAAAAUGGAGCUUCCUUUCCACCUGAGGAUUGAAGGCUGCACCAAAUCCAGAUCAAAUGCG